AUGCCUCUUUUGACAGGGGUAUCAGGAUUCAGCAGUACCAAUAAGAUGAAAGAAGAGAGAAGAAACCUUCAUAAAAUCACCUAUAGACCUGUUGAUUGUGGCAUGCCAAAAGGAACACCACCACCACCAGCAGCAGCUGUAAAAGCUGACACACAAACCGAGCCUCACGUCAAACCUUCUUGUGUCUACAACACUAAGUGGAAAGGGAAGAGCACUGAGAAUCUGCGAGAGAGCAUCUGUGGACAAGGUGAGGAGUGUAUAAUCAUUAGUAUGACUGGACCAUGACUUCAGGACCUUCCAGGACUAGCAGAGAGAUGGGUAAAAGCAAGAAAGGUGUGUGGCAUGGGCAAUCCAGUAAUGUACCCACUGUGCCAUAGGUUCCUCUUACACCAGCCUUGCCAGGCUCUAAGAUGAGCCUGAGGGAAAAGAAUAAAAUAGCAGCCAGUCAUGCAUGCAUGCCCACAUGUAUGCUGACAUGUAUGCAAAUGGUGUACCACAUAGAAUGGAGUCAGGG
rnacentral:lncRNA from 1 species